rnacentral:rRNA from 1 species
AUGCCUAGGAAUCUGCCUGGUAGUGGGGGAUAACGUUCGGAAACGGACGCUAAUACCGCAUACGUCCUACGGGAGAAAGCAGGGGACCUUCGGGCCUUGCGCUAUCAGAUGAGCCUAGGUCGGAUUAGCUAGUUGGUGAGGUAAUGGCUCACCAAGGCGACGAUCCGUAACUGGUCUGAGAGGAUGAUCAGUCACACUGGAACUGAGACACGGUCCAGACUCCUACGGGAGGCAGCAGUGGGGAAUAUUGGACAAUGGGCGAAAGCCUGAUCCAGCCAUGCCGCGUGUGUGAAGAAGGUCUUCGGAUUGUAAAGCACUUUAAGUUGGGAGGAAGGGUACUUACCUAAUACGUGAGUAUUUUGACGUUACCGACAGAAUAAGCACCGGCUAACUCUGUGCCAGCAGCCGCGGUAAUACAGAGGGUGCAAGCGUUAAUCGGAAUUACUGGGCGUAAAGCGCGCGUAGGUGGUUCGUUAAGUUGAAUGUGAAAUCCCCGGGCUCAACCUGGGAACUGCAUCCAAAACUGGCGAGCUAGAGUAUGGUAGAGGGUGGUGGAAUUUCCUGUGUAGCGGUGAAAUGCGUAGAUAUAGGAAGGAACACCAG